CCUGAACGCUGGCGGCGUGGUUAAGACAUGCAAGUCGCACGGUGGUAGCAAUACCACAGUGGCGAACGGGUGAGUAAUGAAUCGCUAAUGUACCCCGGACUCUGGGAUAGCUGCCCGAAAGGGCAGGUAAUACCAGAUGACAUACCCUUCAGGCAUCUGAGGGGUCUCAAAGGUCCGCCGGUCUGGGCGCAGGCGAUUUCGUAUCAGCUAGUUGGUGCGGGAACGGCCCACCAAGGCGACGACGCGUAGCCGGACUGAGAGGUUGGCCGGCCACAUCGGGACUGAGACACUGCCCGGACUCCGUACGGGGGCUGCAGUAACGAACUCUUCCCCAAUGCGCGCAAGCGUGAGGGAGCGACGCCGCGU
rnacentral:rRNA from 1 species